GUGGGGAAUAUUGGACAAUGGGGGGAACCCUGAUCCAGCCAUGCCGCGUGUGUGAAGAAGGCCUUUUGGUUGUAAAGCACUUUAAGCGAGGAGGAGGCUACCGAGAUUAAUACUCUUGGAUAGUGGACGUUACUCGCAGAAUAAGCACCGGCUAACUCUGUGCCAGCAGCCGCGGUAAUACAGAGGGUGCAAGCGUUAAUCGGAUUUACUGGGCGUAAAGCGCGCGUAGGUGGCCAAUUAAGUCAAAUGUGAAAUCCCCGAGCUUAACUUGGGAAUUGCAUUAGAUACUGGUUGGCUAGAGUAUGGGAGAGGAUGGUAGAAUUCCAGGUGUAGCGGUGAAAUGCGUAGAGAUCUGGAGGAAUACCGAUGGCGAAGGCAGCCAUCUGGCCUAAUACUGACACUGAGGUGCGAAAGCAUGGGGAGCAAACAGGAUUAGAAACCCCUGUAGUCC
rnacentral:rRNA from 1 species